CCUACGGGUGGCAGCAGUGAGGAAUAUUGGUCAAUGGUCGGGAGACUGAACCAGCCAAGCCGCGUGAAGGAUGAAGGCACUGAGUAUUGUAAACUUCUUUUGUCCGGGAAUAAAGUCCGGCACGUGUCCCUUUUUGAAUGUACCUGAUGAAUAAGCAUCGGCUAACUCCGUGCCAGCAGCCGCGGUAAUACGGAGGGUUCGGGCGUUAUCCGGAUUUAUUGGGUUUAAAGGGUGCGUAGGCGGCCUGUUAAGUCUGGCGUCAAAGGCCGGGGCUCAACCCCGGCCGUGCGGUGGAAACUGGCAGUCUCGAGUUGGCGGGAGGUAUGCGGAAUGCGUGGUGUAGCGGUGAAAUGCUUAGAUAUCGCGAAGAACUCCGAUUGCGAAGGCAGCGUACCGGAGCGGCACUGACGCUGAGGCACGAAAGCGUGGGUAUCGAACAGGAUUAGAUACCCGAGUAGUC
rnacentral:rRNA from 1 species